rnacentral:rRNA from 1 species
UCGUCACACUAUCAUUAACUGAAUCCAUAGGUUAAUGAGGCGAACCGGGGGAACUGAAACAUCUAAGUACCCCGAGGAAAAGAAAUCAACCGAGAUUCCCCCAGUAGCGGCGAGCGAACGGGGAGGAGCCCAGAGCCUGAAUCAGCAUGUGUGUUAGUGGAAGCGUCUGGAAAGGCGCGCGAUACAGGGUGACAGCCCCGUACACAAAAGCGCAUGUGCUGUGAGCUCGAUGAGUAGGGCGGGACACGUGGUAUCCUGUCUGAAUAUGGGGGGACCAUCCUCCAAGGCUAAAUACUCCUGACUGACCGAUAGUGAACCAGUACCGUGAGGGAAAGGCGAAAAGAACCCCGGCGAGGGGAGUGAAAAAGAACCUGAAACCGUGUACGUACAAGCAGUGGGAGCCCCACCACCAAAGCAUUCUCUGGUGUUGAAGGCCCUGCAAAGCAGCAUCGCGGUGGCGGAGCGUCGUUUGCGACGCCCAACACACAAAACAAGCGGUGAGUGCUUUGGGGUGGGGUGACUGCGUACCUUUUGUAUAAUGGGUCAGCGACUUAUAUUCUGUAGCAAGGUUAACCGAAUAGGGGAGCCGUAGGGAAACCGAGUCUUAAC